CAAUAAUCUUAAGCCUAAAUCUCACCUUUUGUGGUCUAAAUCAACUUGGUUAAAAAAAUACUGAUUUCUGAAUUUGGGCUUAGACUGAGGUUAUAUCUUCCACCUCUGCAUUGAUGUAAUAUAACUUCCCAUUUGUCAUCUACUGUGUACGUUGAUGCCUGGACCCACGAUAAUACUGAAGAGCUGCAAAUGGUACCAAAAGACAUGGCUAGGGCCUUGAUCCUUCUCUGUCCCCAUUGAAGUUGGAUCCAAUGUCUGCCUAAGCCCAAUGUUGAGGUAUUAGUAAGGAGCACUUCCUGACUUGAUCUUUAUUUGAAGAAGAAAGUAAGAAAACCUAACACUGGUUGUUGGCCUCCACAUUCACAGUAGCAUAGGUGUAUUAGUUGCGAUCGUAGACUGAAUUUUCAAACAGCACUGAAGUUAUAUUUCUAAUUGAACAUUUCUUUGGGGUUAGACAAGAAAUUGACUCAGAAGAAAAGUUUCCAGAUGAUUUAUUUAACCAACUGGUCAACAGGGAUGAAGAACGACAUGAGACGAUUGAACAGGAGCAUCAUCCAGGAAGGAUCAAACCAUGUGAUGCAUGUCUAUUUUGCUUCUUUGUGAUAUACUUGUUGUCCAAGUUUUCACUUAGAUUAGGGCAAUCCUAUCUUUCUGUGCCGUUUUGCUGUUUUCUGGUGCAAGUUUGAUGAAGAUGAGAGAAACACACAAAAGUCAUCAUACAAAUGCUAAGCAGUGGUUGCUUUUUAGGUAUUGGGGGCGGCAAGGAUGCAACUGUAGAAACUCCGAAUAUGUUGCUAUGUAAAGUUUCCUAAUCUGUAGAAGCACUGAGGGUUGCAAUUUGUUUAUCCUUUUCUUUGUAAUACCUGCUAUAUGACAAUGAUUAUUUGUGUGUUUAUCUAAGAAAAAAGUGAUCAUUGUGUGAUGGAGGAUGCUCAAUAUUUCAAUUUCCUAGCACAGGAGCCUGUUUUGCAGG